UCGCGCUGGUGGUGCGGCAGAACACGGCCGGCAUCGAACCGGUGGCGCGCGUCGUCGGUUUCCUGCAGGGGGCCGGCUACCGCGUCGUGUUCGAAUCCGACACCGCGGCCCA
rnacentral:tRNA from 2 species